AUCCGACACUGGGGGUUGUAAUAGCUGUGCUGGCUUACUAAUGUGAUCAAUAAACAAAGACCAUGUGACUUUAAAAAUGGUCCCUCUCUGCCUGUCCAUCUAUAAGUCUGCUGUGCUGGGUAAAGCAAUAAACAGAUUGCUGGGAAAUAAAUACAGAGCUAAAAUGGUACUGGCUAUAAAGGCAGUUCUUUUUUUUUCUUUCUAAAGUGUUAUUCUGCAAAUAGUUUAGCAUCUUAAAAAUAAACAAAACCAUAGGUGAAAAGGCACUUUUGAACAAAUUUUCGAACCUUUUUUUAAAAAUUAAGCACACUGAUAUAAUUGCAUUAUCCAAAAAGAUAAUGGGCAGAGCACUCAAUCUCCUAGCUAGUGACAAUUGGCAGAGGUAGCUGUCCACCUGCAGAGAGCAGCUCUAUUGACACAGAAGCCACUUCUGCUGCAGAGGCCGCUGCAAUGCCUAUGGAAAUCUACCACUGACAUUCUUUCUGCUAGCAAUAGCUAGUCUAAGGCCCUGAAAUAGGGCACUCGGAAGCCAGAGACGGAUGGAACAGAGGUAGCCUUGGAUCCACGGGCUCCAAAGCCCCUCCAGAGAGACUCCAGCGUCAGGUCCCCUAUGCCAGCCUGGAGGUGAUGUGAAUAAGCCUGAGACUCUUAAUUUCAGAGCUGUGGGUUCUAGCCCCACAUUGGGCAAAAUAUUCCUGCAUUGCAGGGGGUUGGACCUUUGUGGACAUCGUAACUCUACAGUUCUCUACGAUUCCAAGUAGCUGAUCCCCAUUGCUUGGGAGGGGGAACUUGGAGAAAUAAGAACCCCCCAAGGAACAACAGGUGAAAUACUCAGGGGCGGGGUGGAGGCACUGCUUACCUGACCUGCCACCACUGUUACUGUGGUGUACCAAGAGGGGUGAGGCAAGAAAGUCAGCACAAUGCAAACACACCACCUGGAGGGUUGGAUUGGCUCCUCCAGCGUAUUUGUACCAUGUCAACCUGCCUCUUCCUGGUAUGCCGCAGUGGUGUGUCACGUUGUCAUGCCAGUAGUUCCUGCAGGAAAGGCAUCAUCCCCUUCAACACCUAGGCCUUAGAAGUGGCAAGAGGUCAUCCUAUCCUACUUAACAUUAUGCUCGGUGCUGAAGUGUUUGUGUUUUGACAGGCUUUCCAACCUGAUGCAUUGCUGCACACAUCUGAGUCGCACCUAUUAAAACAGUCAAAAUUAAUGCUAAGGUGAUCUAAUUUGCUGCAGAUUCCACUUCUGGCCUGUUCUUCAAUAAUACUUAUAAAAAUGGAUUUUUACUUAUUUAUUUUUUGCAAUCUGAGAUAAGACAGGCUGAGCACCAGAAAUGAAUCCAAGAGGACAACCUGGAGCUAAUGCCGAACACUUUAGCCAGUGGUAGCACCCACCACCACUGCAAAACCCUGAAAUGUUCGAAUCCGUUCUUAUUGACUCAAGCAGCAAAAUAGCUAUUGAUUGCAAGGACUCUGUAUUGCAUUUUCAGCACUCCAGUGAGCAUGCCACUGGAAUAAACCCUGUUUGGACCUUAGUUCCAACUUGCUUCCGCAUCUGACCGCCCUGAGCAACUUUAUUUAAUAAUUACUGUGCAAUUAUCCCCAAAGUGACAGCUUGCAGGAUAUAGGUAAGGCAAUUGUUUCACUCUGUUCCUAUACUGCACAAGGGAAUGAACUGCUGACUGGUCUGAACAAUAAUGAACUCCCACAAGAACUAGAGUGGGAAAGAAUAUUAGAAAAUGCAUGUGGCAGGAAAGGAGUUCAAAGCAGAGGGGUGUGGGAGGCACCAGAGAACAAGACAGAAUGUGACCAGAGUCAUACCAUGUAUUUCUGAUAUGGCGGGUGCUUUCUUAAUCAGUGAUGUCUUAAUGGGGGUGGGGUGGAAAUCAUUUCAUUGCAAAGGUUUCAUAAAGCCAACAUGUUGCCUUAUCCUGCAACCUGUCAGGUUCCAUUCUAGAGGUGAUGCCAUCCAAACCUAUUGUUUCUUUAUGUGCUGUCCUCGUACAAUAUGCUUUAAAGCUUCAGCUAAUUCUUAUAAGGAGCUCUUUUUGUAGUUCUGUAUGGUGUGGUGGGUACUCUUGUUUUUUUCCACAGUGGCCAAGCAGGUGCCUCUGCUGGCAAACCUGCAAGCAAGAUCUGAAUGCAAGGGCAGCCCUUUCUCCUUCCACGGCUUAUAGAAUGGAAUUAUAGAGUUGGAAGGGAACAUGUGCAUCAUCUAGUCCACCCUCUGCCAUGCAGGAAUCUUUGGCUCAAGAUGGGGCUUGAACUCGGAAUCCUGAGAUUAAGAGACUCGGUUUUUGUUUUGUUUUUUAAAAAAUGAAAGCAUGGUUUAGAAAUACUUAAAUCAUAAAUAAAUCUGAAGUUUGGGCAAAGGUCAAAAGACAAGGACUCUACAACCCUGGCAUAGCUUUGGCAGGCAGGGACCUCAGCUGAUUUUGGUUGUCAUGAGAAUUAAUGCUGAUUAUUACAGUACUUUUAUGGCCAGGUUCUGGUGGGAUUCUCUGCCUCAAGUGCCAAUAACUCGACCAGCUUUGCGUACUAUGCAGCUUGACUUAGGUUAAAGAGGUUGUUAUUUGCUGUUGUGACUCAGGUGGCAAAAUGUUUUGGGGUGUCCCUGAAAGUGAGGAAUGAGAGAAGCCCAUCUUUCAAAGAACAGACGUGAGUAAAUGCAGAUAUACCUAGCAGACUUUGUUGCAAUUGUGUAUGGUGCUGGUGCCAGGUUGUAAUAGAAAAGUUGUUUGAGGAAGAAUUUAAGAUAGACUAGGCAACGGAUGGCUUAGAAAUCUGGUCUGGCUCUCAAGGACAUCCCAUGCGGCUGCUAUCAAAAUCCCUGAUCCCCAAGGCAUCUCACCUCUUAUUUACCUUAGUAACUUUUCUAAAAAAACUUUUUGUGUAAUAAGGGAAAGGCUUUGAAGACUUCUGGUGCCUAUAGGGUGGCCACUUAUUCAUUGCAAGAAGAGGAUACAGUUUUGCAUAUGCUAAUUUGUAUGUAUAGAUGCACAUUUGAAAAAUUGUUAUUGCAAUUUAAUUACUCAUCUUCUCAUCCUCCACAAUUGGGGGUGGGAGGCUAACUAAGGUAUGGGAUGUGGCUCAGAUGAUCAAGCUGACAAGCAUCAUAAGGGUUAGAGAAAGUCAUCAAAAAGACAAUAAAUGCAUAGAAAAGUGGUGUCUGUUCAUUUCCUACUGCAACCAAAGACUGAAGGAGGUGAUGAAUUCAUGUAACUUAUUGGAGGUGAUAUAUAGACAAGCAUAUUUGAGGUUUAGUUAUUUAUGCAAUUUCAUUAGUUUUCAGUUGUUGUGUUGUUGUUGUUUUUUAAAAAAUACAACUUAAACUGAAUGAUUUGGAUAUUUUAUAUAGGAUAAGGAUGAAAGUUUUUUCACAGAACUUUUUUUUU
rnacentral:lncRNA from 1 species